rnacentral:rRNA from 1 species
GAUGAACGCUAGCUACAGGCUUAACACAUGCGAGUCGAGGGGAAACGACAUCGAAAGCUUGCUUUUGAUUUUCGUCGACCGGCGCACGGGUGAUUAACGCGUAUCCAACCUUCCCAUCACUUGGGGAUAACCUUUCGAAAUUAAGACUAAUACCCAUUGAUAUCUCUAGUAUACAUCUGUAAGUUAUUUAAGUUUUAUCUUUUAUGGAUGGUGAUGCGUCUGAUUAGCUUGUUGGGGAGGUAACGGCCCACCAAGGCAACGAUCAGUAGGGGUUAUGAGAGGAAGGUCAACCACAUGGGAACUGAGACACGGACAAAACUGCUAGGGGAGGGAGCAGUGAGGAAUAUUGGGGAAUGGGCGAGAGCAUGAAACAGCCAAGUAGGGUGAAGGAAGACGGGGAUAUGGGUUGUAAACUGCUUUUAUAAGGGAAUAAAGUGAGAGUCGUGACUCUUUUUGAAUGUAACUUAUGAAUAAGGAACGGCUAAUUACGUG